GGGGACCCGCAAGCGGUGGAUGAUGUGGUUUAAUUCGAAGCAACGCGAAAAACCUUACCUACCCUUGACAUGUCUAAAAGUUACCAGAGAUGGUUUCGUGCUCGAAAGAGAACUAGAACACAGGUGCUGCAUGGCCGUCGUCAGCUCGUGUCGUGAGAUGUUGGGUUAAGUCCCGCAACGAGCGCAACCCUUAUCAUUAGUUGCUACGCAAGGGCACUCCAAUGAGACUGCCGGUGACAAACCGGAGGAAGGUGGGGAUGACGUCAGGUCAUCAUGGCCCUUAUGGGUAGGGCUACACACGUCAUACAAUGGCCGGUACAGAGGGCUGCCAACCCGCGAGGGGGAGCUAAUCUCAGAAAACCGGUCGUAGUCCGGAUCGCAGUCUGCAACUCGACUGCGUGAAGUCGGAAUCGCUAGUAAUCGCGGAUCAGCUUGCCGCGGUGAAUACGUUCCCGGGUCUUGUACACACC
rnacentral:rRNA from 1 species